rnacentral:rRNA from 1 species
GAUUAACGCUGGCGGCGUGCAUAACACAUGCAAGUCGAACGAUGAAACUUUAAUGAACCCUUCGGGGAGAAUUAAAGCGGAUUAGUGGCGAACGGGUGAGUAACGCGUGAGUAACCUGCCUUACACAAGGGGAUAGCCUUUGGAAACGAAGAAUAAUACCCUAUAAAACCAUAAAAGCACAUGCAAUUAUGGUCAAAGUGAUAGCGGUGUAAGAUGGACUUGCGUCUGAUUAGCUAGUUGGUGAGAUAAAAGCCCACCAAGGCAACGAUCAGUAGCCGGCUUGAGAGAGUGUACGGCCACAUUGGGACUGAGACACGGCCCAGACUCCUACGGGAGGCAGCAGUGGGGAAUUUUGCACAAUGGGGGAAACCCUGAUGCAGCGACGCCGCGUGAUUUAGAAGGCCUUCGGGUUGUAAAAAUCUUUUGUAUAGGAAGAAAAUGACAGUACUAUACGAAUAAGGGCCGGCUAAUUACGUG